UACAGAGGUGGCAAGCGUUGUUCGGAAUUUCUGGGCGUAAAGGGCGCGUAGGCGGCCUACUAAGUCAGACGUGAAAUCCCCCGGCUUAACCUGGGAACUGCGUCUGAUACUGGAAGGCUUGAGUAUGGGAGAGGGAUGUAGAAUUCCAGGUGUAGCGGUGAAAUGCGCAGAUAUCAGGAAGAACACCCGUGGCUAAGGCGGCUCUCUAGUACGGUACUGACGCUGAGACGCGAAAGCGUGGGGAGCGAACAGG
rnacentral:rRNA from 1 species